CACGUAGGGAGCAAGCGUUGUCCGGAUUUAUUGGGCGUAAAGAGCUCGUAGGCUGUUCGAUAAGUCGGGUGUGAAACCUCCAGGCUCAACCUGGAGACGCCACCCGAUACUGUCACGACUAGAGUCCGGUAGGGGAGCGUGGAAUUCCUGGUGUAGCGGUGAAAUGCGCAGAUAUCAGGAGGAACACCAGCGGCGAAGGCGGCGCUCUGGACGGUGACUGACGCUGAGGUGCGAAAGCGUGGGGAGCAAACAGG
rnacentral:rRNA from 1 species